rnacentral:lncRNA from 1 species
CCUCAACUGACCUGACUGCCUGGGCCAGAGAUGCCCUGUCUUUGUCCUGCGUCUGUCUGGGUUACUCAGUAGGCACUUUCUUCGUGUUUUGCAUCUUAUACUCAGCUCAUUAGUGUAUAAUAAAAUACUUACCGAGAAGCUCCUAUGUGACAGGGAGUUGGAAGAUAUAAUGAGUGCUGCUGAAACUUUCACCUGAGAGGAGGAUUUCAGAUUUCUCGAUUCUGCCCCCGCAACGAGUUGCUUCUCUUCUUUCUCUGCACAGUCUUCACUUUCAUGAAGCCAAAUGCCUCCUUGCAAUUCAGCUCCUGGUUUUGAGUGUGUAAGGAAGACACACGCUUCUCGUGAAAUUCUGGAGAAUGUCUCCGGACUGCGUGGGAAGCUUAUGAACCAGAGGUGCCUGUACUGACAGAAGCCUGUGAGCAAAGAGGGUUCCGAGAACUGGUUAGCUCUUUCUAGCCGGGAAUAUUAAGCUGUAAAGAACAAGGAAAUGGAGGGAGCAUUCACAUAUGUACUGCAGUUGGCAUGGGGGUCUCCUUGGAGAGGCUUCCUGUGGGCAACUAUGGGUGCAUUCAGUAGGGACAUUUAGAUAACUAAGAUGAGCCCUGGAACAACCAAAAUAGAGUCAAUGUAAUAAAACACUCUCUGAUUCUGGGACACGUCCCCCUCGUCUCUGAAAGGAAACACUUGGCUUCAGUUUGGCUCAGCAAUGUAACACCUUUUCUCCCGGCUUAGAACCAGCUCUUAGCAAGCAGAGUGGGUGGCUUUUGUGUGAUACCAUGGGCACUAGUAACGCCUCAGGCUGAAGUCCCGGCCUGAUAGGUUAUGCCCUUAACCUUCUAAAACCAGAAACGAGAGGAAAGAAACCACAGAAGGAAACUGUAGAAACUCAACCCCAGGGGAGGCGAGCAUUACCUUCAUAAUUUAUUGCAAACAGUGCCUAUUUUGUUUCCAAAGUGUUUUAAAUUAAACUUAGUUGUGUAUCAUUUGGAAUGUAAAUAUUCAUCCUCAAAAGUGAGUAGCAGGGAGUAUGGACUGUCUGAGUAACCACAGUGUGUGUGUCUGAGCUUUGUGACAAGUCUACUAUGCCUUCUUGAUGCUGGGCUACAAUUAAAGCAUGUUCUAAAAAAAGUAAAAAAUGCACUUAGAUGUUAGUAAGUAUGAGCUAAGUAAUUUUGGAAACUUUGGUGUGCAUUUUAGAGAUUGAGAUUUUCAUUUACAUAUAUCAGUUGAUUCUUCAGAAGCAAUUUAAAUAACUUAAGACUGUUUUUUAAACAUAAUCUUAUCUCUAAAGCCCAAGGUAGAGGUCAAAAUGCAAAUAUUUGAGGCUGUGAUGUGAUGGUCACUAUGUAUCCAGUUUGUAAUCCUCCAUAUAACUGAUGUAUUAGUAUUUUAUCUAAACAUCUUGCUGUGGGUAUGUGAAGCAGGCCCACAGAACAGAACUAAUGAACACCUGAGACCGUGCCAGUGUGUUCAUUUAAAAUGCGCUGCACCUUGUUCUGACACUCGAUUUGUUGUAGAUAUUUGAUCCUCUUGAGGCUUGCUUUUAAGCUCUGUUAGGGUGGGGCCAGAGGAGUUUUUAAUCCAGGAUUAAUUUCUCACCUUAGUAGUGCCCCACUAUGGAGGAGAAACUUCUGAGGACUCUACCCGAGGCCCACGUAUUACAAAGUCUUUUCAUUCCGGCUGGUGGACACGGACUCUGUUUCCAGCCCGCGUGAGCUCCAAGAAUUGCUUGGCCUGAGGCUUUCCAGAUUUCUUUCUCCCGUGCAUUUGCUGAAUAGUACUCAGCCAAAGAGCAUGUGCAGCCUCCAGCACCCUGUCUUCGUGCAACUCUCCUCUCUCUCUUAUUCUUUCUCAUACAUUUUAGACGACCCCGCCUCAUUGAACCUCAGUCUCUGUCCCCUCAAUUCAAUGAGACUGACAGGCUCCCCCUGCUGGGCUGCAGCCUGAGCACUCUGUCUAGGCAAGAAGAAGCUGGAGCAAUCACAGGUGUCUCAUCACUUUCCCCUUCUCUCAGGCAUCUUGGGCCUGCACAUCUGCUGGCCAAUGCCCUAAACGGUUAUUUUUCCAUAUGUUUUGAUAUUUUGCCUGUUUUUCUAGUUGUUCAUGGUGGGAGGACAAUUUCCAUAACAGUAAUCCUUUGUGGGCAGACAGAGAAUCCCGUCUAGCGUAGUUUUGCAUUUGCUUCCCUGAGGCCCCGGACCUCGACCAUUUUUAUGGGAAUUCUUGGCUUGAGAUUGUUACCAUGUGGUGCUGUAAAUUUGCACCCCACAAACAUGCAGUACUAGUUUGAGGAAUCCAUUAAAUUUUCUUCCAUCCAGAACCGCCCCCAGGCAGAUGGAAAGCUUCUGUAUAGCUUCUCUAUGUCAGUUGGUGAUAUUUUUACUAUUCCCAUUUUUGUUUUGACUAAGCCACUCUUUGUGCAUCUCAGAUUUGUGCAGGCAUCUUGGGUACCAACUCACUACCUUGAACAAUCCAGGUCUACAUCUCUCAUUCUGGCAUGUGUAUUAAAACUCCAGUCCCAGAUCUUAGAGGCUAUAUCUAGGCAAAAAUUAGUAUUUCUGCAUUAUGUAGGCUGUGCAUAUUUGAUUUUCAUGUACUUGAAAUGUCUUAGCCUAGUGACUAAGUCCAAUUUUUUUUUUUUUUUUUUGACAGAGUAUCACUCUGUCUUCCAGGCUGGAGUGCAGUGGUGCAAUCACAGCUCACUGCAGCCUUGACCUCCCAGGCUCAAGCGAUCCUCCUGCUUCAGCCUCCCGAGUAGCUGGAACUACAGGCUCGUGCCACCACCCCCAGCUAAUUUUGGAUUUUUUGUAGAGAUGGGCUUUCACCAUGUUCUCCAGGCUAGUCUCAAACUCCUGGGCUCGAGUGAUCCUCCUGCCUGGGCUUCCCAAAGUGCUGGGAUUACAGGUGUAAGCCACUGCACCCAGCCUCCAGCUUUGUGAUUCCAAUGUAAAAUGUUUAAUUGACUGUGAUUUUAUGUUCAUCUUACUAGGUUUAUAUACAAUAUGAGAAUAUUUAUGAAAACUCCAAAUUUUCUGUAUUUAUAUACUUAGUUUAGUAGAUAAAGUUAUUUAAGUUCUUGAGACAGUUUUGUUUAAGUCAGACAAUAGUAGUCCUUAAAGUGGAGAGAAAAUAUAUUAAUUUAUAAAUAAAGCUUAACAAAUUAAAGGGAAUUAAGUUAUGCUAUAAAAAGCAGCCUUAAACUUAAUGUUCUUCAAUAGUCAGAUUUUUAAAUGGAAAAAUAAUGUUUUAAAGUUGAACUUC